rnacentral:tRNA from 1 species
ACCUAGGUGGCUCAGUUGGUUGAGCAUCUGACUUCAACUCAGGUCAUGAUCUCACGGUUUGUAGGUUCAAGCCCUGUGUCAGGCU